AACGCACCUUGCGCCCUUUGGCUAUUCCGAAGGGCAUGCCUGUUUGAGUAUCAUGAACACCUCAACUCUCACGGUCCGCCGUGAUGAGCUUGGACUUUGGGGGUCUUGCCGGCCUAGCGUCGGCUCCUCUCAAAUGGAUCAGCCUGCCAGUGUUUGGUGGGAUCACAGGUGUGAUAACUAUCUACGCUUGUGGUUUCCUGCCAUGUAACCUUCAGCGAUGGGGGUUCGCUGGAGCUCACAGAUGUCCCUUCCUUCGCGAGGACAGCUUUUUGAACGUUUGAUCUCAAAUCAGGUAGGACUACCCGCUGAACUUAA
rnacentral:misc_RNA from 1 species